UCGUUAACCCCGGUUCAAUUCGUUCUCUCUCUCUCUCUCUCUCCUUUCUCUCCGUCGGCAUCUGUGAGCUUGUGAAUGAAGAUCAAUCGAAAACGACGCCAUCGAUUGCCUCCUUCUCAUCCAUUCCGAUCUCUCCUCUCUAAUUCACCAGGGCCAAGCAAAAUUUAGUUUCGAGGCUUCAUGACAUGGUUGAAGAGGUUAAGGGGGCUUAAGGAGAAAAACAAUUUAGUUGGGACAGUAAGGUAGAGCAAUUUUAGAUGUUUGGGAUAUUUUGAUGCAAUGACAUCUGAUAUGCGGCUAGGUAUGGCACAAAGUUUUAGAACAAGCAGGUCUUCAUUCACCUCUAAUAAUGGAUAUGAAUCUCCUUCACUCAACCCUGCUAGAGUCUCGAAUGGGGAAGAAUAUGACAGCUAUGGUUCCAAUUUUGCUCCACCCUACACCAUCAACCCUGUCAAUGGCUGUUCCGCCAGAACUAGCUGGUGCUAUACCCUUGAUUGAUAAAUUCCAGGCGGAGAGGUUUCUAAGGGCAAUGCCAAAACAAAUUCAAUCAGUUGGAAAACGUGGUUUUUUUUUUUUUCUUCUAAAAGAUCCACGGGCACCGAAGUGCGGAAGAAAUUCUCAUUUGCGGAUAUGAUGUGUUUCUAAAAGGAUCCUGUCCCAACUUCAAUCCUAAAGAUAAACAGUGAUCUAGUUAAUCGGGCAGUAAAACUGUUCCCGAUUGUUUUGAAGUACAUGGGUGUUGAUUCGUUUGAUCGAGUGACUCCAACAAGGUUAGAGGAACGCAUUGAGCUUAUUGGGAAACUAUAUAAGGAUACUCUGAAGCGUUUUGAGCUCGAGACGAACUUUUUGCACAAAUUUCAAAGCAGACAAGGAAUAAUCCUGAUAAGCAAUAUUUAAUUAGAGCAUGGGAGUUAAUGUAUUUAUGUGCAUCCUGCAUGUCUCCUAGCAAGGAUAUUGGUGGGUAUUUAUCAGAAUAUGUUCAUAAUCUGGCACACAGUGUGAAUACUGAUCCAGAUAUUCAAGUCCUUGCAUUGAACACAUGAAAUGCAUUGAAGCAUUCUGUUAAGGCUGGACCUAGGCUUACAAUACCUGGCCAUGAGGAGAUUGAAGCUCUUGUGAUUGGUAAAAAACUGACGACUACGCUGUUUUUCUUGGAUGAAACUUUUGAAGAAAUUACAUAUGGCAUGGCGACAACUGUAGCUAAUGCUGUUUAGGUACUGUUGAACUUUCCUUUUCUUUUCUUAAGCUCCAUCGACAUGAACAUUGACCAAUCCUUCCCAGAAAUAAUUUUAAAAAAUAUUUCAUUCAUCAGA